UACAGAGGGUGCGAGCGUUGUCCGGAAUCACUGGGCGUAAAGGGCGCGUAGGUGGCGCGACAAGUCAGUGGUGAAAGCUCGACGCUCAACGUCGAGUCGGCCACUGAUACUGUUGGGCUUGAGCACUGUAGAGGCUAAUGGAAUUCCGGGUGUAGCGGUGGAAUGCGUAGAUAUCGGGAGGAACAUCAGUGGCGAAAGCGGCACCCUGGCAUUAGCCUGACGCUCAUGUGCGAAAGCGUGGGGAGCGAACGGG
rnacentral:rRNA from 1 species